rnacentral:rRNA from 1 species
AGUGAACGCUGGCGGUAUGCCUAACACAUGCAAGUCGAACGGCAGCACAGUAAGAGCUUGCUCUUACGGGUGGCGAGUGGCGGACGGGUGAGGAAUACAUCGGAAUCUACUUUUUCUUGGGGGAUAACGUAGGGAAACUUACGCUAAUACCGCAUACGACCUACGGGUGAAAGCAGGGGAUCUUCGGACCUUGCGCGAUUGAAUGAGCCGAUGUCGGAUUAGCUAGUUGGCGGGGUAAAGGCCCACCAAGGCGACGAUCCGUAGCUGGUCUGAGAGGAUGAUCAGCCACACUGGAACUGAGACACGGUCCAGACUCCUACGGGAGGCAGCAGUGGGGAAUAUUGGACAAUGGGCGCAAGCCUGAUCCAGCCAUACCGCGUGGGUGAAGAAGGCCUUCGGGUUGUAAAGCCCUUUUGUUGGGAAAGAAAAGCAGCAGGUUAAUACCCCGCUGUUCUGACGGUACCCAAAGAAUAAGCACCGGCUAACUUCGUG